CCGCACAAGCGGUGGAGCAUGUGGUUUAAUUCGAUGCAACGCGAAGAACCUUACCUACUCUUGACAUCCAGCGAACUUAGCAGAGAUGCUUUGGUGCCUUCGGGAACGCUGAGACAGGUGCUGCAUGGCUGUCGUCAGCUCGUGUUGUGAAAUGUUGGGUUAAGUCCCGCAACGAGCGCAACCCUUAUCCUUUGUUGCCAGCGAUUCGGUCGGGAACUCAAAGGAGACUGCCGGUGAUAAACCGGAGGAAGGUGGGGAUGACGUCAAGUCAUCAUGGCCCUUACGAGUAGGGCUACACACGUGCUACAAUGGCGCAUACAAAGAGAAGCGACCUCGCGAGAGCAAGCGGACCUCACAAAGUGCGUCGUAGUCCGGAUCGGAGUCUGCAACUCGACUCCGUGAAGUCGGAAUCGCUAGUAAUCGUGGAUCAGAAUGCCACG
rnacentral:rRNA from 1 species